GUGGGGAAUCUUGCACAAUGGGCGAAAGCCUGAUGCAGCCAUGCCGCGUGAAUGAUGAAGGCCUUAGGGUUGUAAAAUUCUUUCGUCAGGGAUGAUAAUGACCGUACCUGAAGAAGAAGCCCCGGCUAACUUCGUGCCAGCAGCCGCGGUAAUACGAAGGGGGCUAGCGUUGUUCGGAAUUACUGGGCGUAAAGCGCACGUAGGCGGACUUUUAAGUCAGGUGUGAAAUCCCGGGGCUCAACCUCGGAACUGCCAUGGAAACUGGAAGUCUUGAGAUCAGGAGAGGUUAGCGGAAUACCGAGUGUAGAGGUGAAAUUCGUAGAUAUUCGGUGGAACACCAGUGGCGAAGGCGGCUAACUGGACUGAUACUGACGCUGAGGUGCGAAAGUGUGGGGAGCAAACAGGAUUAGAUACCCCGGUAGUCC
rnacentral:rRNA from 1 species